rnacentral:rRNA from 1 species
UCCACACAGUAAACGAUUUACACUAGAUGUUAGUUGUUGUUAAAUACAAUUAGUGUCGUAGCUAACGCGUUAAGUGUAACGCCUGGGGAGUACGUUCGCAAGGAUGAAACUCAAAGGAAUUGACGGGGACCCGCACAAGCGGUGGAUCAUGUGGUUUAAUUCGAUGCAACGCGAAGAACCUUACCCAAACUUGACAUCCUGGGAAUCUUGAGUAAUAUCGAGAGUGCCCUUCG